CGAAUGCAAGUCGAACGAAGUGGCCCGAUGAAGUGAGCGAGCUUGCUCAAUCAUGAAUUCGGAUUCCCACUUAGUGGCGCAAGGGUGAGUAACACGUGGGUAAUCUACCUUCGAGUCUGGAAUAACAGUUAGAAAUGAUUGCUAAUGCCGGAUGAUAUCGAGAACGAUACGUCAUUCUUUAUUAAAAGGGGCCUUUAAAGCCUCGCUUGAAGAUGAGCCUGCGCCGUAUUAGCUAGUUGGUGGGGUAAUGGCCUACCAAGGCAACGAUGCGUAGCCGACCUGAGAGGGUGAUCGGCCACACUGGGACUGAGACACGGCCCAGACUCCUACGGGAGACAGCAGUUAGGAAUAUUCGUCAAUGGGGGAAACCCUGAACGAGCAAUGCCGCGUGAAGGAUGACGGUCCUUAAUGGAUUGUAAACUUCUGUUGUUAGGGAAGAACGAGCUGUAUAGGAAAUGAUAUAGCAGUGACGGUACCUUUCAAGAAAGCUCCGGCUAACUACGUGCCAGCAGCAGC
rnacentral:rRNA from 1 species